GGUACGAAAUGGUACUCAUCUCAGCCCGCUAGCAACCCGCAUGUGCUACUCAUGUCUUGGCCCAUAGUCUCCCCGCACGCGGCGGCCGGCGAUGGAGGAGCGGCCACACGGGACGACAUCGGCGGCGGCGCUCAGGGGGCACGUUCACCUCCCGCCGCUGGCCCGCGCGCGCGGGCCAAGAACUCGGUAUAGUACAUUCUGCAGGCGCUCUGGCGCACCCCAGCCUCAACGCCGUCGUCCGCGACAUCCUCCAGCUCCCCUCCGACUCCGAGCUCGACCCCGCUUGCAGGUUGCAGCUGUUGGUGUGCUUCAGAGUACUGAUCCGCAGGUGUGUGAGUGUGUCUAUGAGACCAUCGUAUAGGCCGAGAUUCCGAAGCUUUUUCCUCCGGAGGUGCCGCCCGAGCUGCAAAGGUUGCUCACUCUGCUUCUGCACGAGUUUCAGCUGGAAUGGCGAGAGGACGCCUCCAAGGAUCAGGCACCCACGCGAAAUUCAUAAACAGCGAAAAGCCAUUUUGAGUACAAAAUCAAGAAGCGCCAGAGCAAACAGCGACAACACAGUUAGUUGAAACAAUUGCUACCGUGUGCUUUUGCACAAACAUAAGUGCCUUGCCGUUUUGCUGGCUUAAGCUUGAUCUGUGAGAUGCUUAUUAUCCUUUAUCCUUUUUUAUGUGAGAGAGGAGUUCAUUGAUUGGUUUGUGAAGAUCUGUUAAGAAAACUAUUUCAGCAGUUCUGGGGUUACAAUCAAGAUAUCUUGGAUGAAAGAUGUUACUCGUGUGAAUCGUCAUCUUCCCUGCAGCCUCACUGCAGGACAUCAUCAGCAAAGGUCUUGUCUGAAUCAGGGGAGAAAGACGUGAAGCACCAGUUAAGGAUUCUUUAGACAAAAUGCUCAUGGACAUAUACACAAUCAGGGAAGGACGUGGAGAAGCAACAAAAAGCACAUAGGAAAGGAUGAUUUUUCUCCUCUUUUUUCUAGCUCUCGGGACAUUUUUCAUCAGCAAAGCACUUCAGAAAUGAUGCCAAAGUUGCAUUUCUUACAUGAAGCAGAGCUCUCUAAACAAGUGGAAGCACACCAAAGUAUGGCCUCACAUUCCAAACUAUGGUGUGCGUGCAUGACGUGUUCGUGCAAACCGUCACCAUGGAUUCUCUCCUUCAAGAUAAUCUACUCUUGUGCUUUGAUGCAGCAGUGUAUAGACUUUGUAACUUUUAACCUCAUGUCGCCUUUGUUUUAUUUCAAUGCAUCUUCAUUUUCUCAUCUUGCUGUUGCUAAUUUCCUAAUUUGUUUUUGUUUUAUUUCAUUGUAUACACCACGAAUUGCUCAUCUUGCUACUGAGACAAACCUACAAGCUACAACACAAGGGAAAAAAAGAGGUGCAUUGCAUUUUCUAUUGUUUCUAGCAUUUCCUUAUUUAUCAGUGCAGAUCAUAUCUUGUUUUGGACAGGUUGAGAGGUAACAUCCCUACUCAUUCCUCAAGUAAAAAGAAUUAGAGCUCUUUAUUCUGUAUGUUAUACUCCCUCCGUUUCCAAAUAUAAAACUUUUUAGAUAUUUCAAUACAGACUACAUACAGAUGUAUAUAGACGUAUUUUAGAGUGUAGGUUCACUCAUUUUGCUCCAUAUGUAGUCCGCAUUGGAAUCUCUAAAAAAGCUUAAAUUUAGGAACGGAGGGAGUACAUGCCUUUAUUCUUUAUUUCAAUCAGUAUUUGGGAUGGGAGCACGCAGUUCUGUAGUUACUAGAGUCCAAUUAUUCAUGUGUUCUUUAUGGGACCAAAUAACACACCUUGGCCUACAGACCUGGCCAUUUUACAGCCAUCCUUUCAAAAAGGCUCAACUGAUGUGCUGUCAGAAAAGCCUUUCCGCAACAAUAAAAAACCCUUUUCCCCCUCACAUCCUAUGUGUCUGCUGAGUUACUUUCAGAUUGGUGCUGACCUAUGAUGAACCGAGAGCUAAGCAGAUUAGUUAUAGUUUGGUCUUUGUUUGAAUAGGUAAUAGGAAAUUAUUUGAAAUGUUUCUAUAUUCUUGGUAAAUCAUAUACUUGAAUCGUAUAUGAUUGGCCUUUCGUUUGAUGGCUGAUGUGUUCUUGACUGAAAGUUUUGAAGCUGCGCGAUGAGAGUAUAGGUUGCUCCGAUGAGGGCAAUCUGAGCAGCAAAAAGAAAUACAUAAUUGUAGAAGGGCAGAUGUUGUUGAUGACACCGUAUUUGAUGAUGCUGUUGAUGAUAGUAUAAACUCUUUAGUGGAGGGCAUCAUGAAAGAGUGUUCCGAAGGAAGUAACAAUGAAGGGGAUGAGGCUGCACCUCACGACUUUAAGAACUGCAAUAAUACAAGCACAUUGGAUGAGCACACCAACAUAGAUCAGCUAGAAUCUAGUGAGAAAGCAAAACACAUGGUACUACUUUUAUAGCCAAGCUCAUCAGAUCCAAACAGCAAACAAUAAGAAUGGAUUUGGUCAGCUUUUGGCCAGGCUGCAAGUCCUGAAAAGACGUGAAGAUACCAAUAGCAGCAUCGUGAAUUGGGGGCAAGAUGUUUUCCGUUCCGAUGAUUGGGUGUGUCUCUUUGAAAGAAAAAAAUAACCUGGCCCUGUUGCGCGUGAGGAGGUAAUUCAGAAGACUGAUUUGCGUGAUGAUGUCGAAGGUUGAUUUACCUGGUGAUGCUGGGUGCAGAGCCCUAUCUGAUGAAGCUGGUAGCAGAACCGCAAGCCAGUACGUCUGUACAGUGCUUGAAGAGUCUGAUGAAACCUGCAAAUGUGAUUUGCAUGAGAAGCAGUUAAGCCACUCACCGUCAGAAUGGGAGCAUGUACUGAGGGAAGACCUUUUCCUCCCAGGAAACCCAUUGAAGUGAAAGGCAUCUGCUCUCCCCUGGGUUUAGUUCGAAAAUCAUGUUCUUAAUUUCAAUGUGUGCAGACCGCGACAUAAGCAGCAGGAUCAAGCGUCGUAGUAGCUAGCCGGUGCCUAAACCUGAAACUUUAAGGAAAGAGAAUAUAAUCUCAGCUCAUGCCUCAUACUGAGCUGUUUGUAAUAUAUGCUGCCUGCAGUAUCUGUUUCUAUGCCUGAAAGGAUCAUGCACAGUACUUGAACACUUGUCAUAACAUGCGAUCUGAUCGCUAAUGCUUGCAUACGUACCAUGAGUAUAUCUGUUACUCCCUCCGUCCCAUGGUGUAAAAAUGUCUUACAUUAUGGGACGGAGGGAUUACUUCUUUAUUAUCUUUUCGAUCCUCCAGAUGUCCCUUUCCGAGAUGAUCGUCAAGAUCCUUUUAGCCCCAUUUUAUGUUGCAGUUUGCUGUUGAGGUAUAUAG